rnacentral:lncRNA from 1 species
AGCAGAGCUCGAGCGAGCUUACCUUAGCUUAAGCUUGGCUUGAAAUUAAUUUCGAGCCUAAAUUUAGGCUCAAGCUUGGCUUGAAAUUAAUUCGAGCCGACCUCGAGUGAGCCUAACUUCGAGUCGAGCGAGCUCGAGCCCUAAAUGAGCUGCUUGAAAUUCUUAACAUCGUGCAAUCUAUAGUUUAAUUUUUAUAAAACAUUAUCAAAAAUUUGAUAUAAAAAAUAUCUAGUUUAACAUACAAAAUGAAUGCAUAAAAUACGAUAUUAUAAUAUAAAAAAAAUUAGGAAAAGUGACUCUGCGAGUAAGUGAAAAAGAAAAAAAGAGAGCAAUUAGAGUAGGAUUUUACUGGUUUGGUUUUAUGGGCCCAAUAAUCUAAAUUCUAUAUACAUAUAAUUAAAAUACAUAAUAUAUAUUAUUUUAUAUAAUUAAAAUAUAUAUUAUAUAUAAUUAUAUAAAGAGAGAGAGAGAGAGAGAGUUCAGCUACUAUAUAUACUUUUAUGAGUAUAAAUUCCUUUAUACUUUUAUGAGCAUAAAGUUUUCGACCGUUAGAUUUAUAUUCUUUUGACCAUUUAAUCCGCUAAAUCAUACUAUUCAAUGAACCACCCACUCAAUCUUAGGGAUCACUAUCAUUCUAAUCGCACAUCCAACGGCUGAAAAUUUAUAAAUAUAAAGAAGUCUAUAUUUGUAAGAGUAUAGUAGUUAUACUAUUAUAGUAUAAACCGCAUGCUAUUAGGUUUUCAGCCUUUGGAUCAAGGGAUGUGCGGUAAGGAUGAUAGUAGCCACCUAAGGUUGAGUGGGUGGCUAGUUGAAUAGUAUGAUCUAACGGAUGAAAAUGGCCAAAGUGAUAGAUCUAAUAGCAGAAAACUCGAUAGCAUCAAAUGCCUGGUACUAUCGAUAGUAUAAUAGCCGGACUCUAUAUAUAUGUAGGCAGAUCUAACGACAGAAAACUCAAUAGUACAAAUCGCUUAGUAUUAUCAAUAGUAUAGAUAGCAUAGUAGCCGGACUAUAUAUAUAUAGAGAGAGAGAGAUAGAGUUUGUCUACUAUAUUAUCAAUAGUAUCAAAUGCUUGGUGCUAUCGAAUUGUGUGCCGUUAGAUCUACCUUUUUGACCAUUUUCAUCUGUUAGAUCAUAUUAUUCAACUAACCACCCAUUCAACCCUAGGGGAUCACUAUCAUUCUAACCGCACAUCCCUUCAUCCAAAGACCAAAAAUGCAAGUGGUUGGUACUAUUAAU